rnacentral:rRNA from 3 species
GGACUACAAGGGUAUCUAAUCCCGUUUGCUCCCCUGGCUUUCGCGCCUCAGCGUCAGAAAGGGUCCAGCACGUCGCUUUCGCCACCGGCGUUCCUUCCGAUAUCUACGCAUUUCACCGCUCCACCGGAAGUUCCACAUGCCCCUACCCCCCUCAAGAUGGCCAGUAUCAAAAGCUAUUCUCCAGUUGAGCUGGAGGAUUUCACCCCUGACUUAACCACCCGCCUACGCGCCCUUUAAGCCCAGUGAUUCCGAACAACGUUUGCACGGUUCGUCUUACCGCGGCGGCUGGCAC